UUAGGUUUUUAGUUUAGACAAUCCUCCCAACUCUUCUCUUACCUCCAGCCGCCCGAUACGAAGAAAACCCUUCCCACCAUAUUCUACUAAUUGUAUCAAUCUCGAUCUUCAACCAUCAACGCCAUUUGAUAUUCAAAUCUGUCUCAGUUACACAACAGGACAGCUACCAAAAGCAGCAACAAGUAACUUGUGGGCGUCGUUUUGGAAUGUUUGGUAGUUUGGAGGCAAUAUGGUGGUUACUAUGGUGCUGCUCCAUAUAGAGAAGGGCUUAGCACCAGACAAGGGGGUUCUACCAUUUGGAUGACUUGGAUGAUGAGAUCAGUGUGGACUUGCCAUUGAGAACUGGAAUGGCCUUUUAGGUUAUACCCAUUUGGAUGUAUAUUGAGAACUGGAAUGCUUAUUCCAACAACAAUCAGUUUAAGGAAAUUCAAGUGUAAGAUUCGUGGGGAGGAUGGAGGUAGUCAACGUAUUGAGGACUUGAGGUUCGUUUUAUGAUAGACACUUGAUGAAGACUGUUUUUGUUUCAAGUAAGUUGUCUUUCAUGAACAAUAUAUGAUAAUCCCAAUAGUUAAAAUAAGUGUCUUUACAAGAAAUAUAAUGAGUUUGCUGAUGUUAUUAUGAGUUUGGCUUUUUAAAUUAAAAUUCUCCACUUGCCUUAUUUUUUGUAUGUUUUUC
rnacentral:lncRNA from 1 species